rnacentral:rRNA from 1 species
UAAUACUGGAUAGGCAAUUAUUCCUGUAAUGGUUUUUUGUUUAAAUGCUUUUUCGCCUAAGGAUGGGUCUGCGGCCGAUUAGGUAGUUGGUUAGGUGAUGGCUUACCAAGCCUUUGAUCGGUACGGGUUGUGAGAGCAAGAGCCCGGAGAUGGAACCUGAGACAAGGUUCCAGGCCCUACGGGGUGCAGCAGGCGCGAAACCUCCGCAAUGUGAGAAAUCGCGACGGGGGGAUCCCAAGUGCCAUUCUUAACGGGAUGGCUUUUCUUUAGUGUAAAAAGCUUUUGGAAUAAGAGCUGGGCAAGACCGGUGCCAGCCGCCGCGGUAACACCGGCAGCUCUAGUGGUAGCAAUUUUUAUUGGGCCUAAAGCGUCCGUAGCCGGUUUAAUAAGUCUCUGGUGAAAUCCUGUAGCUUAACUGUGGGAAUUGCUGGAGAUACUAUUAGACUUGAGACCGGGAGAGGUUAGAGGUACUCCCAGGGUAGAGGUGAAAUUCUGUAAUCCUGGGAGGACCGCCUGUUGCGAAGGCGUCUAACUGGAACGGUUCUGACGGUGAGGGACGAAAGUUAAGGGCGCGAACCGGAUUAUAUACCCGGGUAGUCCUAACUGUAAACAAUGCGGACUUGGUGU